UUAAUUAAAACCAAAUAGAGGUAAAUUAUUGUUAAUAAUUUCAUUGAAUAAAUUCUAAUUAAA
rnacentral:tRNA from 1 species